rnacentral:lncRNA from 1 species
AUGAAGUGGCUGGAGCUAGCCCACUCACAUGCCCCCUUCCAGACUUGUUACAGAAGAUGAUGAUCGGAUGCUUUGAAACAGGACUUGGCUGGGAAGGAGAAGCUGGAGGAAGGAAGGAAGGAAGCCAAGCGUUUGUGGAAGGGAGAGUUUGGUCACGGCAUGGACUGGGGCAGAUGGGAAGGACAUCUGUGCACAUACAAGCUGGAGAAGAUUCAGGUCCUCCAGACUGCGCAUGAGCAGCAAGCAUCCUCCCAGAACAUGUCCCAGGGCGUGGUCUCUUUCCAGUCACUGCACCUUUGAGGGAAGAAUGGGAUCUAGUUGGCUAAGCACCCAGGACAACUCUGGCAACUCACCGCCCCCCCCUGUGAAUCCACCUCGUCCAGGAGUACCAUUCUGCAGUAAGGACACGUAGCUCGAUGUUCUUCCUACACUCAACAGUCACGACUGGAGAGGAGGGGACAGGACAGAAGGUGCCUUAGGGAUGAGAUCUCAUGAUGGACGCACAGGACAUGGAAAGCUGCAUGAACACUGUGUCUGCUUGGAUUUGGAGAAAAACAGAGCCUUGCAGCCAUGAGUUAGAGCAUUUUCCCAUCUUCAUCUUUCAUUUGAUAGAGGGAGUGUGCUGGGAUCGUUUGUCCAAGACUUUGUUCUUCCGGACUAGAUGUGGAGGGUGCAUUCUAGGGCUAAGCACAUGGGUCAGGAAACAACCUCAGAAUUAGACGGAACCUCUUUGGGUGCCGGAGAGGUUGGUGAGACGCUGCAAGAAUGAGGCUCCUGAUCCAAUUGCCCCUGUGGAUGUGGUGGAUGGUCCCACAAGCACAAACGAUGGAGCCGAGAUGGGAGAUCCUUUCGGUGUUCCAGAAGCCGAUACCAGCUCAACAUGACGUUCAAAUUUUUUCCAUGCCGUUUUUGAUCCCUGAAUUCCCCUUAAAGAGAUAGUCCCUCUGGCUAUCUAUCCCUUGCUUCAGGGAAGAUGAGUG